rnacentral:rRNA from 1 species
UACGGGGGGGGUAAGCGUUGUUCGGAAUUACUGGGCGUAAAGGGCCAGUAGGCGGCCAACUAAGUCCGACGUGAAAUCCCUCGGCUUAACCGGGGAACUGCGUCUGAUACUGGAUGGCUUGAAUCCGGGAGAGGGAUGCGGAAUUCCAGGUGUAGCGGUGAAAUGCGUAGAUAUCUGGAGGAACACCGGUGGCGAAGGCGGCAUCCUGGACCGGCAUUGACGCUGAGGAGCGAAAGCCAGGGGAGCAAACGGG